CCAAGUGUUUGAAAACAUAGACCAUUUGUUUGAAAUGCCAAGUGGAUACUUCUAUGCAGUGAUGGAUUGCUUUUGUGAGAAGACAUGGAGUAACUCUCCACAAUACAAAAUUGGGUAUUGCCAACAAUGCCCUGACAAAGUGAAAUGGCCUGUGGAGGAAAUGGGAAACCCACCACCACUUUACUUCAAUGCUGGAUUCUUUGUGUAUGAACCUGAUCUUUUCACUUACAAGGAUCUUCUUGAGACUUGCAAGGCCACCACUCCAACUUUGUUUGCUGAGCAGGUAAUCUCAUUCAUUUUAUUUACACUAAUACUUAUUUGCUAGUUGAGUCGUGUUGCCCCUUUUUUAGUCCACGAAAACAAACAGGACAAAGAACAAAAACAAAAACAAUGCUCGUUGGGUGGAAGUCGGUGGAACCAUGUGGUUAGAUCACUAGCUAGAAAAAAUGGCUUCUGGCUGGUGGUCAAGUAUUGCUCUUAAACCGAUCUCUCUCUUUCUUUUUCUUUUAUGAGAAUUUGUGUUUGGAUGUGUCUGUUUUAGCUUUAAAAAUGUCUAAUAAAUCUUUGUAAUUUGAACUUUUUGUUUAGUGUGUAACUAAAGUAUUAAAUAAGUUAAGAAUUAAAUAGUUUAUAUGAUAUAAAAUGAAUUUUAUUUAUAACAAAUACCAUUAAUUUUUCAAUUUUGCAUCAACGGGAAUGAAUCAAGAUCUAUAAGAGACAAAAUUAAGGAUGUAGAGAUCUAAUGGUCACAAAAUUUAAACUAAAGUUAAUUUAACCGUUUUUCUAUUGUUUGUUUCUCCUAUAGGACUUUUUGAACAUGUACUUCAACGACAUAUACAAGCCCAUUCCUCCAAUUUACAACCUCGUCAUGGCCAUGUUGUGGCGUCAUCCCGAGAACAUUGACGUCGACAAAGUCAAAGUUGUCCAUUAUUGUGCAGCGGUACAUAUUCAACUUAUUUUAGUGUUUGUACUUUCCGCCCAAGUUUCUACGUCACGUAUAAUCAAUUAGUUAACUUUGAUAUCAUUAUUGGAAUGUCAUACUUGUAGGGAUCGAAACCAUGGAGGUACACGGGAAAAGAAGAGAACAUGGAGAGGGAAGACAUAAAAAUGCUGGUGAAGAAAUGGUGGGAAGUUUAUGAAGAUGAAUCUUUGGAUUACCAAAAUGUCCUCAAAUCUGAAACUAAACAAGAAACUAACCUCACACCUUUGAUCUCUGUUCUGUCCGAGGCUGAAGUUGUCAACCACAUCACAGCUCCUUCUGCUGCUUAAGUAUAUGUAUAUUUAUAUAUAUAACAUAUAUAAAUAUAUAUAUAU
rnacentral:lncRNA from 1 species